UACGGAGGGUGCAAGCGUUAUCCGGAUUCAUUGGGUUUAAAGGGUCCGUAGGCGGGUUUUUAAGUCAGUGGUGAAAGCCUACAGCUCAACUGUAGAACUGCCAUUGAUACUGGGAACCUUGAGUAUGAUUGAAGUGGGCGGAAUGUGUCAUGUAGCGGUGAAAUGCAUAGAUAUGACACAGAACACCGAUUGCGAAGGCAGCUCACUAAGUCAUAACUGACGCUGAGGGACGAAAGCGUGGGUAGCGAACAGG
rnacentral:rRNA from 1 species